rnacentral:rRNA from 1 species
UACAGAGGUCUCAAGCGUUGUUCGGAUUCAUUGGGCGUAAAGGGUGUGUAGGUGGCGCGCUAAGUCGGGUGUGAAAUUUCGGAGCCUAACUCCGAAACUGCAUUCGAUACUGGCGUGCUUGAGGACUGGAGAGGAGACUGGAAUUCAUGGUGUAGCAGUGAAAUGCGUAGAGAUCAUGAGGAAGACCAGUGGCGAAGGCGGGUCCCUGGACAACACCUGACACUGAGGCACGAAAGCUAGGGGAGCAAACAGG